GCCUAGUUAGCUUGGAGGGUUACGCGUCUGCCUUGCAAGCGCUAGGCCGCGGGUUCGAUUCCCGCCCGGGGCG
rfam:Asian citrus Psyllid, Diaphorina citri - Florida Strain, whole genome shotgun sequence.